UGCAUUGCUUACUGGGAGGCCAGUACUCUAAACCCCUCAAUUAUGAUGUCACAUUCUCAGCCAUACUCAUCUUCACCAUCACCAUCAUCAUCACCAGCUGUCAGCUUCCUGAAAAAGUCAGGCCCAGCUGCCAUGUGAGUGAAGGCAGGAUUCAGAGUCACCACCAUCUCUAAUACACCACAACUGGAAACAAGAGCCUACCUCUUGCAGCUGCAACAGCUGGAUCACACUGAUGGGACAGCACAGCUGAUUCUGUAUCUACCAUAUGAGAAUUGGGUGAAGAGCAAUCAGGGGAUCAGUAAUUUCCUUUGCAUGAUUUUGCUUCUUUUCCCCUUAUUAAAAAUAUCAACAGUUGAAACCCA